UACGAAGGGUGCAAGCGUUAAUCGGAAUUACUGGGCGUAAAGCGCACGUAGGCGGCUUUGUAAGUUAGAGGUGAAAGCCCGGGGCUCAACCCCGGAACUGCCUUUAAGACUGCAUCGCUUGAAUCCAGGAGAGGUGAGUGGAAUUCCGAGUGUAGAGGUGAAAUUCGUAGAUAUUCGGAAGAACACCAGUGGCGAAGGCGGCUCACUGGCCUGGUAUUGACGCUGAGGUGCGAAAGCGUGGGGAGCGAACAGG
rnacentral:rRNA from 1 species